UGCCCAGGCGCGAAAACUUUACAAUGCCGGCAACGGCGAUAAGGGAACCUCGAGUGCCAGGUUACAAAUCUGGCUGUCGUGAUGCCUAAAAAGCAUUGCAUAGCAAGGGCCGGGCAAGACCGGUGCCAGCCGCCGCGGUAACACCGGCGGCUCGAGUGGUAACCGUUAUUAUUGGGUCUAAAGGGUCUGUAGCCGGCCGGGUAAGUCUCUUGGGAAAUCUGGCAGCUUAACUGUCAGGCUUUCAGGAGAUACUGCCUGGCUCGAGGCCGGGAGAGGUGAUAGGUACUUCAGGGGUAGGGGUGAAAUCUUGUAAUCCUUGAAGGACCACCAGUGGCGAAGGCGUCUCACCAGAACGGACCUGACGGCAAGGGACGAAAGCUAGGGGCACGAACCGGAUUAGAUACCCGGGUAGUCCUAGCCGUAAACGAUACUCGCUAGGUGUCGGCCACGGUGCGACCGUGGUCGGUGCCGUAGGGAAGCCGUGAAGCGAGCCACCUGGGAAGUACGGCCGCAAGGCUGAAACUUAAAGGAAUUGGCGGGGGAGCAC
rnacentral:rRNA from 1 species